rfam:Nicotiana attenuata strain TT chromosome 1, whole genome shotgun sequence.
AGUUAUAGUUUCUUUGACGGUAUCUACUACUCGGAUAACCGUAGUAAUUCUACAGCUAAUACGUGCAACAAACCCCGACUUCUGGAAGGGAUGCAUUUACUAGAUAAAAGGUCGACGUGGGCUCUGCUCGCUGCUGCGAUGAUUCAUGAUAACUCGACGGAUCGCACGACCAUCGUGCCGGCGACGCAUCAUUCAAAUUUCU